rnacentral:rRNA from 1 species
AGAGUUUGAUUCUGGCUCAGAACGAACGCUGGCGGCGUGGAUAAGACAUGCAAGUCGAACGAGAGAAUUGCUAGCUUGCUAAUAAUUCUCUAGUGGCGCACGGGUGAGUAACACGUGAGUAACCUGCCCCCGAGAGCGGGAUAGCCCUGGGAAACUGGGAUUAAUACCGCAUAGUAUCGAAAGAUUAAAGCAGCAAUGCGCUUGGGGAUGGGCUCGCGGCCUAUUAGUUAGUUGGUGAGGUAACGGCUCACCAAACCUUCGAUGGAUAGGGGUUCUGAGAGGAAGGUCCCCCACAUUGGAACUGAGACACGGUCCAAACUCCUACGGGAGGCAGCAGUGAGGAAUAUUGGUCAAUGGACGAGAGUCUGAACCAGCCAAGUAGCGUGAAGGAUGACUGCCCUAUGGGUUGUAAACUUCUUUUAUACGGGAAUAAAGUUAGGCACGUGUGCCUUUUUGUAUGUACCGUAUGAAUAAGGAUCGGCUAACUCCGUGCCAGCAGCCGCGGUAAUACGGAGGAUCCGAGCGUUAUCCGGAUUUAUUGGGUUUAAAGGGAGCGUAGGCGGAUUGUUAAGUCAGUUGUGAAAGUUUGCGGCUCAACCGUAAAAUUGCAGUUGAUACUGGAUGUCUUGAGUGCAGUUGAGGCAGGCGGAAUUCGUGGUGUAGCGGUGAAAUGCUUAGAUAUCACGAAGAACUCCGAUUGCGAAGGCAGCUUGCUGGACUGUAACUGACGCUGAUGCUCGAAAGUGUGGGUAUCAAACAGGAUUAGAUACCCUGGUAGUCCACACAGUAAACGAUGAAUACUCGCUGUUUGCGAUAUACAGUAAGCGGCCAAGCGAAAGCGUUAAGUAUUCCACCUGGGGAGUACGCCGGCAACGGUGAAACUCAAAGGAAUUGACGGGGGCCCGCACAAGCGGAGGAACAUGUGGUUUAAUUCGAUGAUACGCGAGGAACCUUACCCGGGCUUAAAUUGCAAAUGAAUGUUCUGGAAACAGAUCAGCCGCAAGGCAUUUGUGAAGGUGCUGCAUGGUUGUCGUCAGCUCGUGCCGUGAGGUGUCGGCUUAAGUGCCAUAACGAGCGCAACCCUUGUUGUCAGUUACUAACAGGUGAUGCUGAGGACUCUGACAAGACUGCCAUCGUAAGAUGUGAGGAAGGUGGGGAUGACGU